GACGGUACCUCCAGAGGAAGCGCCGGCUAACUCCGUGCCAGCAGCCGCGGUAAUACGGAGGGCGCAAACGUUGCUCGGAAUUAUUGGGCGUAAAGCGCGCGUAGGCGGUCUGNCAAGUCAGAUGUGAAAGCCCGGGGCUUAACCCUGGAANGCCAUUUGAAACUGGUAGACUUGAGUAUGGGAGAGGGNAGUGGAAUUCCUGGUGUAGCGGUGAAAUNCGUAGAUAUCAGGAGGAACACCGGUGGCGAAGGCGGCUUCCUGGACCGNUUCUGACGCUGAGGCGCGAAAGCGUGGGGAGCAAACAGGAUUAGAUACCCUGGUAGUCCACGCNGUAAACGGUGNUCACUAGGUGNAGUGGACNUUGACGUCUGCNGUGUCGAAGUUAACGCAUUAAGUGAACCGCCUGGGNAGUACGGCCGCAANGUUA
rnacentral:rRNA from 1 species